AACUCCUCUUCUGUCAGCAGAACCAUGCAGCCCAGAGAGAAGGACGCCUCUCUGAUUGAUGAAGUGAAAUGUGAUCUGAAGCUCAGAUUUGGUUCCGUUUUCCUGCAGCGAUUAUCAGUGAAUGAUCUGCAGCUGGUGUUUUAAUCAGCGCGAGUAGUUUUAAUAAACUCUCUGAUUUCAGCUUCUUCAGUGAAUGUUUCUGGUUUCUUUCCUCUCUGACACUAAACUAAACAUCUCUGGACCAAACAAGACGUUUGAGGAACCUCUGAUCCUCGUGUUCUCUGCGAGGAUGCGGCAGUGAGCAUGCUCAGAGUGCUGAUCGUUACCAUGGCGAUAUUCGGUGGCGGCGGCCAGGCGUGCAGCGGUCAGGACAACUGCUCGGCCAACAGCGAGUCCAGAGACUACUGCUACUCAGCUCGCAUCCGCAGCACCGUGCUGCAGGGGCUGGUCUUCGGCGGCGUGCCCACCGUGCUCGCCCUCGACUUCAUGUGCUUCCUGGUGCUGCUCUUCGUCUUCUCCAUUCUGAGGAAGGUCGCGUGGGAUUAUGGCCGCCUGGCGCUGGUCACCGACGCCGACAGGCUGAAGAAGCGCUUCGGCGAGCGGGACGAGCGGGAAUACGUUGCCUCGGCGAUGCAUUCAGAGACACCGGACCGCUACGAACGGCUCACCUCCGUCUCCAGCUCCGUCGACUUCGACCAGAGAGACAACGGAUUCUGUUCGUGGCUGACGGCAAUUUUCAGAAUAAAGGACGAGGAGAUCAGGGAGAAGUGUGGUGAAGACGCCGUCCACUACUUGUCCUUCCAGCGCCACAUCAUCGGGCUGCUGGUCGUGGUCGGGGUUCUGUCCGUCGGCAUCGUGCUGCCGGUGAACUUCUCUGGAGACCUGCUGGAAAACAACGCUUACAGCUUCGGACGCACCACGAUAGCCAACCUCAAGUCUGGGACGAACCUGUUGUGGCUCCACACUUCGUUUGCCUUCAUGUACCUGCUCCUGACCGUCUACAGCAUGAGGAGACACACGUCCAAGAUGCACUACAAGGAGGACGACCUGGUGAAACGCACUUUAUUCAUUAAUGGCAUCUCUAAAUACGCUGAGGAGAGUCAGAUCAAGCAGCACUUUGAGCAGGCGUAUGAGAACUGCACGGUGCUGGAGGCUCGCAUCUGCUACAACGUGGCCAAGCUGAUGUCGCUGAACGCCGAGAGGAAGAAGACGGAGCGCAGCAAGAAGUUCUUCACCGACCUGAUGGCGAAGGAACACGUUCCCACCAUGAUCAACCCCAAACCCUGCGGACACCUGUGCUGCUGCGCCAUCGCCGGCUGCGAGGAGGAGGAGGCGGUUAGCUACUACACCAAGAGGGAGGCCAAGCUGAAGGAGGAGUACCGCAAGGAGAAGGAGAAGGUCCACACCAAACCACUGGGCAUGGCCUUCGUCACCUUCCAGAACGAGGCCAUGACCGCCAUCAUUCUGAAGGACUUCAACGCCUGCCAGGUUCAGGGUUGUCGGUGUCGUCAGGAGCCACGUUCCUCCCAGUUCAGCGACGUUCUCCACGUUCACAACUGGAGCGUUUCCUACGCGCCCGAUCCGCAGAACGUCCGCUGGGAGAACCUGUCGCUGGGCGGAAUCUCCUGGUGGAUCCGCUGCUUCGUGAUCAACUGCAUCCUCUUCAUCCUGCUCUUCUUCCUCACCACGCCCGCCAUCAUCAUCUCCACCAUGGACAAGUUCAACGUCACCAAGCCCGUCGAGUAUCUCAACAAUCCUAUCAUCACUCAGUUCUUCCCCACUCUGCUGCUCUGGGCUUUCUCUGCUCUGCUGCCCACCAUCGUCUACUAUUCUGCCUUCUUCGAGGCUCACUGGACCAGGUCUGGAGAGAACAGGACUACGAUGCACAAGUGCUACACCUUCCUGAUCUUCAUGGUUCUGCUGCUGCCGUCUCUCGGACUCAGCAGUCUGGACGUUUUCUUCCGCUGGCUGUUCGAUAAGAAGUUUCUGGCUGAUGCCAAAGUCAGGUUUGAGUGCGUCUUCCUGCCGGAUAACGGAGCGUUCUUCGUCAAUUACGUCAUCGCGUCGGCGUUCAUCGGAAACGCCAUGGACCUGCUGCGGAUCCCCGGCCUGCUCAUGUACAUGAUCCGGCUGUGCCUGGCUCGCUCCGCCGCUGACCGCCGCAACGUCAAGAGGCAUCAGGCCUACGAGUUCCAGUUCGGAGCAGCGUACGCCUGGAUGAUGAACGUCUUCACCGUGGUGAUGGCCUACAGCAUCACCUGCCCCAUCAUCGUACCCUUCGGUCUGAUGUACAUGCUGCUGAAACACCUGGUGGACCGGUACAACAUGUACUACGCCUACCUGCCCUCCAAACUAGACAAGAAGAUCCACUCCGGAGCCGUCACCCAGGUGGUGGCCGCGCCCAUCCUCUGCCUCUUCUGGCUGCUCUUCUUCUCCACCGUACGCACAGGCUUCAAGACGCCGACCUCCAUGUUCACUCUGGUGGUGCUGACCGUCACCAUCGUGGUCUGUCUGUCGCACGUCUGCUUCGGACACUUCAAGUAUCUCAGCGCUCACAACUACAAGAUCGACACCAAGGAGAACGACGUGGACGCUGUUGAGAACGGACGUCCGGCUCGUCCCUCGUCCUCCCCCACCACCAAGUCUCAGCAGCAGCAGCAGCAGCAGCAGAUGUACAUCGCUCAGGUGCUUCAGGACCCAAACUCGGAUGAGCCGGGCGGCGGUAGCAGCGAGGAGGACCGAGGCUCGUCCCAGGACGAGGAGAUGCUGAACGGAGGGAACAGCAUCAACGAGGCGGAUUUCCAGUCAGGGGAGGACAGUCUGAUCGCCAACGAGGUCCACCAGUAGCUGGGGGCGGAGCUAGUUGAGGGCCAUACCUACACAACAGUUAAGCUGACUGAAGAAUCACUACACACACAAACACUCAUACAGUAGACUGGCGCGAUUAGCUCCACCCCCCUUUCAGCUUGAAGACUUGACCCUGACCUUCGACGCCGGCGCCGGGUCGCCAACAUCCAGUCCUGCCCUCCUGUGGAAAGUGGAGGGACCCUAAACUGUGUCCACAGGAAGUCACUGUAAAUAACCACAAAGCCAAAAUUUUUCUUUUUUGUUGUUUUUUGUCGGGUGGGUGCGGGGUUCAAAAAUUUGUGCCUGGGCUGGAUUUCGUUCGUUCGCACUCGUGUCUUGACUCCUGAUCCCAGUGCGGGUCGCAAGGACUCGACCCGUCGAGGGGUCAUAGCUGACGCUGACGCGGUCCUUUUUCUUGGCCUGGUGACGUCUUCAAACGAACCCGCUGCGUCGCCGCCAUCCUCCAGUGUUGGAGCGCUAAAUAACUCGCCAACCGCCAGUUCUCGUAGUGGUAGAAGCCUCGCUUACGCAGACGCACUGCAGUCCCUCUUCCCUGUCGGCCGUCCCUCCGUCGCUCUGUGGAUCUUGCCGGUUCGUUCAACACAUCACAUGGAAGCUUUGUUUUUCUGACCUGCCGAGCUUUCGCUGCAUGUUGUUCAAAGUGCUGUCUGGAUGUCGCCACCUUCGGAUGACGUCAUUCACCGCUGGCCAAUGAACUCGCCACGCUUCCACAUCGAUUUCAGCAGCACAUCGUCCCACCAGCUGGAUGAGCGUUUUCAGCUUCGCCGCUUCCGUUGGACCGAUCCUCGAAUCACUGGGCUCGCCGGAGGACGCUUUCUUUUCUGGUUUUGAUUUCACCUGAACUACCUUAAAUCGUGAAUACCUGACAAAGGGAGCGGGGAUGUUUGUGUCUGUGUAGGUUUAGCAAUCAAAACUCUUUCCAUUUGUCAGAACUGUGUGAAGUCACUCUGACUCUUCCAGCAGCAGCAGCAGCAGAGUAGUCUGGUAGACGCAGAAGAGCAGCGCUUUUCGGCCGGACGGUCUACCCUCGACGCCUGAAGCUGUCAGGACUUUCAAGGGAAAUGUUUUCUGUCCUGUGUGUGUUUUGACGUGUGCGCUGUCAGCCUGUCUGUGUGUGUCCAGUAGCUUUUUGAACACCAACCUGCAUCAUUAAGGGUUCAGCAGCAUCACCAGGUAACCAAAAACACUGCAACACCUGGCUCACAGGUCCCAGUGUUUCUCAAACUGAACAUCCAUCUACUGUAGAAUCAGUGCAGCAAGAUGUUUCCUUCACUUUGGUACAAAACGUCUGUUUAGAAACACAGUCAUGUUUUCACAUCAACAAUAGUCUGUUUUUACUGCAUUACUGCUACAAGUUUCAUCUCUCUGUCACAGUGGUUGUUUAGCCUAGCUUAGCACAAAGUUAGCUCCAUGUCUGUCUCACUCACACCGACGCUUUCCACUGCAGGAAUCUUUGUCAGUGUUUUACAGGAACAGCCCUUUUCUGACCACCAAGUUAACUCUGGGCGCAAAAAAAUGACAAAUCGUAGCUAUUGGAUGUAGCUGCAGUUGUAUGUCGUAGAUAGAGCUACGGCGCUUUGUUGUGUUGACUUAAAUAGAGAACUUCUGUAGAGGUGGAAGUUCUACCGGGGAGGUUCCUGUGGUCGCACAAAGACGACCUGCAAGUUCCUGCAGUGAAAAGAACUCUUGUUAUAUCCACCUAGCUAACGGCUAACAUAAUAUUGGUCCUACAGACCUCAGCUUGUUAGCAUCUCUUAGCGGUCACAGUGCUUUGACUUAUCAGUGCACAUGUCGUAUGUGUUUUGCUACAAAGGGAAAACUGCUAAGCUACGUCCUUAAAAAGACAGAAAAGAGAUGAUUGUUGUUUGCUUUAGCAAAGCUAACGAUUUGCAUAGUUUGACAAAUAUCUAAAUAUUAGCUUCUUAGUCCUGUUAGCUUAGAAUUUGUCUCAUAUGUUGGCAUCUAUUUUCAUAUGGAGUUAAACUUUGCUACCUUUUGACCAACAAACUCGCACCCUUGACCAGUUUUAAACCAGAUCGCACUUCCUAAGUGACAGUUCUUGAGUCUGCCUGCUGGUUAACGAUGUAGCUUUAGUUCUUGAGUUUACUAGCUUACAACAAAAUUAGCAUUAGCAGCUUAAGUUAAUGAGUUUACUAGCUUGUUAACAAACUGGUUUUAGUUUUUGGUUUUGUCAGCAGUUGCCAAACAAGCUCCAGUUAAUGUGCUUAUUUGCUUUUUGAUAAUCUAGUUUGAUUUUGAGGUUGUUAAAUGCUAACUAGUUGUACUUCGUUUUUAGCAACAGCUUGAAAACUAGUUCCCAACAAUGUACCUUGAUUGAUGAUGAUGAUUCUUGAGUUUAUUUGCCUGCUAACAUGCUAGCUUUAGCUUUGAAAUAUUGGCAUUGUAUAAAUAGUGGUAGUUGAAAUUAGCUAGCUUUGUUCUUCAGUUACUUCGUCUUCUAGCAAAAUAGCUCCAGAUCUUCACUUCAUCAGCCUAUGAAGAGACUGAGUGCUGGUUCCUGAUUUUGUUAGCAAGCUAGCAAAGUAACUCUAAUUCUUGAGCCUACUAGUUUGCUAACAAAUGAGCUUUCAUGACUUGAAUAAUUUGCUAUGUGACAGUUGGCUUGCUAGCCUAGAGAGCUUUGUCCCUCUUCAGUAACUCAUCACAGAGUGAAAUGAUAAACAGUCCCAGGAACAAAUGAUGAGUGUGGCGGCAGUUAGCUUGCAGGCUACACCAGGCUACCAGCUAACCUUGUGAGUAGUGGCUUCAGCGCUGACUUUCUAUUUGCACAAAGGUGUGCCACAGCUGAAAGCACAUUAGAAGGUGAUUUUUUUCUCUCUCUCUUGGUGGAGCUAAGCUAACCUAAUUCCCAUUGCUUCCAAACUUUGUGCUAUGCUAGGCUAAACAGGUCCUGGACACUGGUUGAAAGAAGACCAGUGAAUCAAAAGGUGGGGUGAAGUUUUCUCUGACCGCAGGUUGAGUUUGAACUAGUCUGACUCAACGGAUGUAGACGGUGGGUUUAGCUUGGGUCCUUCCCUUCUGAUAUUUACCAGUUCACCGUUUUCAGAUCCCCUUCAUGAAACAACCUCUGAGCAGCAACGCUGAACAUUUGGCAGUUUCCUGGGGAUUUGGAUCAUACAGCCGGUUCCUGGUGAUUCUAGAGCAGUUCCUCCAUCACACUGUCCUUAUGUCCUGAGACGAAGGGGAUGGGUUGACGGACUACAAACAUGGCAGAGCUUUUAUUUUCCCCUAAAAGCAGAAUGAGUCAGAGCGCUCUACGACGAGGACAUAGUCUCAGGUGUUGUUUUCUUUUCCUAAAAUAAUGUUUACAUCAGUUUUGGUUGCUUGUUUUUCUUGUGAUUUUUUCUGCAGUGUGUGUUUGUGUGUGUGUGUGGGUGUGUGUGUGUGUGUGUGUGUGUGUCUGACACGGAGCUGGACUAUGAAAGCUGUAGCCUCCAGGCAGGACGCUGGGCGGCGCCGGUUUGGUGGCUACACGCCGGAGAACCUGCAGCAUUUGUGUCUCGUGUUGUUUGUCCCGGUCACCUCCUGGGGGCGCUGCUGCGGUGCUCCGCCCUGAUUGUAUGCACAUGAAGCUGAAGGAGAACUCGGCCUCUGAUCCAAGGCUCUGGGUUCAGCUCGGCGGCCCUCGGCCUCUGAAACAUGACCGUCAGCAGCCAUCCUGAGUCCAGCUCUUUGUUGAGCUGUCGUGUUCUGGCUCAUUCUCAUGGCCUCAUUUGAGCCCAACCCGGACUCAGUUCAUAAUUAGACCCGACCCAAAUAGACACCAGUCAGUGAACAGCUGAGAGGACAGAACCGCCGCCCUGGGCUGUCCUGGUUCUGCAGGUCAGAGGCGGUUCUGAGCGGCCGGACCGGAGGCUGAGGGUCCAGGUGGUUUUUUGUAUCUGCAGUAUUCGAUGUUCCGGAUCGUUGGUUUACUGCUGAAGGUUCUGAAGAGUCAGCCGCUGCUCUUUGCUUUCUUAGUUUUUUAAAUUGUUGAGAUGUGAACAGAGGAAUGUGAAGCGAGCUGAAAGCAGCUGAAGCGUGGACAGACCGAGCUGUGUGUAAAUAGCAUCACUUCACGCUUUAAUUUGUUGCUGUGACUAUUUAUUUUUACUUUGGUUCCGUGUGUACAGUGAAACAUUCGUCCUAUUUAUGUUACUUGAUCAAUAAAAUUGGCUUUCAUCUGU